rnacentral:rRNA from 1 species
UACGGAGGGGGCCAGCGUUGUUCGGAAUUAUUGGGCGUAAAGGGCGCGUAGGCGGUCACGUGAGUCGGUUGUGAAAUCCCCUGGCUUACCCAGGGAACUGCUUCCGAUACUGCGUGACUUGAGUCCGGGAGAGGAGAGUGGAAUUCCCAGUGUAGCGGUGGAAUGCGUAGAUAUUGGGAGGAACACCGGUGGCGAAGGCGGCUCUCUGGACCGGUACUGACGCUGAGGCGCGAAAGCCAGGGGAGCAAACAGG